rnacentral:rRNA from 1 species
GAUGAACGCUAGCGGCAGGCUUAACACAUGCAAGUCGAGGGGUAGAAAUAGCUUGCUAUUUUGAGACCGGCGCACGGGUGCGUAACGCGUAUGCAAUCUGCCUUGUACUGGGGAAUAGCCCGGAGAAAUCCGGAUUAAUGCCCCAUGGUAUUUUUGUGUGGCAUCACACGAUUAUUAAAGAUUUAUCGGUACAAGAUGAGCAUGCGUCCCAUUAGUUAGUUGGUGUGGUAACGGCACACCAAGACGAUGAUGGGUAGGGGUCCUGAGAGGGAGAUCCUCCACACCGGUACUGAGACACGGACCAGACUCCUACGGGAGGCAGCAGUGAGGAAUAUUGGUCAAUGGGCGCAAGCCUGAACCAGCCAUGCCGCGUGCAGGAUGACGGCCCUAUGGGUUGUAAACUGCUUUUAUACGGGAAGAAACACCUCUUCGUGAAGAGGCUUGACGGUACCGUAAGAAUAAGGAUCGGCUAACUCCGUGCCAGCCGCCGCGGUAAUAC